rnacentral:rRNA from 1 species
CCUACGGGGGGCUGCAGUGGGGAAUAUUGGACAAUGGGGGGAACCCUGAUCCAGCCAUGCCGCGUGUGUGAAGAAGGCCCUCGGGUUGUAAAGCACUUUCAGUGAGGAAGAACGCCUGGUGGUUAAUACCCAUCAGGAAAGACAUCACUCACAGAAGAAGCACCGGCUAACUCCGGGCCAGCAGCCGCGGUAAUACGGAGGGUGCGAGCGUUAAUCGGAAUUACUGGGCGUAAAGCGCGCGUAGGUGGCUUGAUAAGCCGGUUGUGAAAGCCCCGGGCUCAACCUGGGAACGGCAUCCGGAACUGUCAAGCUAGAGUGCAGGAGAGGAAGGUAGAAUUCCCGGUGUAGCGGUGAAAUGCGUAGAGAUCGGGAGGAAUACCAGUGGCGAAGGCGGCCUUCUGGACUGACACUGACACUGAGGUGCGAAAGCGUGGGUAGCAAACAGGAUUAGAUACCCGAGUAGUC